UCUAUGCUUGUGCCCUUACUCCA
rnacentral:piRNA from 1 species